GACGCGAUGGCCGAGUGGUCUAAGGCGCUGGAUUUAGGCUCCAGUCCGAGAGGGCGCAGGUUCGAACCCUGCUCGCGUUA